UAUGGUGGGAACUUUGAAGGAACUGCCGGUGAUAAGCCGGAGGAAGGUGGGGAUGACGUCAAGUCCUCAUGGCCCUUACGGGCCGGGCUACACACGUGAUACAAUGGUAACUACAAAGGGCAGCGAAGGAGCGAUCUGGAGCAAAUCUCAAAAAGUUACCUCAGUUCGGAUUGCACUCUGCAACUCGAGUGCAUGAAGUUGGAAUCGCUAGUAAUCGUAGAUCAGCGCGCUACGGUGAAUACGUUCCCGGGUCUUGUACACACCGCCCGUCACACCAUGGGAGUUGGUUUUACCUGAAGCUGGUUUGCUAACCGUAAGGAGGCAGCCAACCACGGUAAGAUUAGCGACUGGGGUGAAGUCGUAACAAGGUAGCCGUACCGGAAGGUGCGGCUGGAUCACCUCCUUA
rnacentral:rRNA from 1 species